rnacentral:tRNA from 1 species
GCGGGCAUGGCGAAACGGUAGACGCACUCCCCUUAAAGCGGAGCGCCCGAAAGGUGUCCGAGUUCGAAUCUCGGUGCCCGCACCA